rnacentral:rRNA from 1 species
UACGUAGGGGGCAAGCGUUGUCCGGAUUUAUUGGGCGUAAAGAGCGUGUAGGCGGCUAGGUAGGUCCGUUGUGAAAACUCGAGGCUCAACCUCGAGACGUCGAUGGAAACCAUCUAGCUAGAGUCCGGAAGAGGAGAGUGGAAUUCCUGGUGUGGCGGUGAAAUGCGCAGAUAUCAGGAAGAACACCCGUGGCGAAGGCGGCUCUCUGGUACGUGACUGACGCUGAGACGCGAAAGCGUGGGGAGCAAACAGG